GGGGGAUAUUUUAAAAUGGAAAAAUACCGGUCAGCACAAACCGGAGAUGUAGGUUCGAGCCCUGCUCCUCCA
rnacentral:tRNA from 1 species